rnacentral:lncRNA from 1 species
AACUGUCUCAUUGUAAGAAAGCCCAAGAGUAAGCUAUGUGAGGUUGAUGGCGAUGCUUAAAAGCAAUCGACUUACAAGGGUAUGGAAAUGGGGACUCGACGUCGAAAUGUGAGGUUGAUGGCGAUGCUUAAAAGCAAUCGACUUACAAGGGUAUGGAAAUGGGGACUCGACGUCGAAUCGAGAAUUAAGUGAUAUUUAUCAUUAUUAUUUUUUGAAUGGUUUUUUUCUUUUUAUCAAUGAAAUUG